rnacentral:rRNA from 1 species
UACGAAGGGGCUAGCGUUGCUCGGAAUCACUGGGCGUAAAGGGUGCGUAGGCGGGUCUUUAAGUCAGGGGUGAAAUCCUGGAGCUCAACUCCAGAACUGCCUUUGAUACUGAAGAUCUUGAGUUCGGGAGAGGCGAGUGGAACUGCGAGUGUAGAGGUGAAAUUCGCAGAUAUUCGCAAGAACACCAGUGGCGAAGGCGGCUCACUGGCCCGAUACUGACGCUGAGGCACGAAAGCUAGGGGAGCAAACAGG